AAUAUUGGACAAUGGGGGCAACCCUGACCCACCCACGCCGCGUGUGUGAAGAAGGUCCUCGGAUUGUAAAGCUCUCUAAGUUGGGAGGAAGGGCUUUAGGCUAAUCCCCCGCAGUUGUGACGAUAUCAACAGAAAAAGCACAGGCGAUCUCUGCGCGCGCAGCCGCGGUAACACAGAGGGCGCAAGCGUUAAUCGGAAUUACUGGGCGUAAAGCGCGCGUAGGUGGUUUGGUAAGAUGGGUGUGAAAUCCCCGGGCUUAACCUGGGAACUGCUUUCAUAACUGCUGAGCUAGAGUACGGUAGAGGGUAGUGGAAUUUCCGGUGUAGCGGUGAAAUGCGUAGAUAUAGGAAGGAACACCGGUGGCGAAGGCGACUACCUGGACUAAUACUGACACUGAGGUGCGAAAGCGUGGGGAGCAAA
rnacentral:rRNA from 1 species